rnacentral:lncRNA from 1 species
CAUAGGGAAAUUCGGGUACCACUCUGUACUAGUUUUCUAUUCAAAAACAAAAUGCUGUUAUCUCAUAGACAUGAAAUGUUAAUGAGCUGUGUUUCUGUGCCCACUGGGAGCCACCCAUGGGCCAGUUCUGCUGUGGAGAGUGCUAGAGAUUACUGAGUAGAAUGUCAGAAUUCAAGUGACCUCAAAGCCCCAUUGUGACCAAAUGGCCCUUUGCAUGAAUGGGGAUGUUCACACUCUGGCCUGUGAGCACAGAAAAGGGAGCUGAUACACCAUCUCUAGACGAUUAUGUAGUUUUUCACCAGACUACUCCUGAAAUGAGGCUGAGGAUCCCAUGGGAAAACAGAAAAAUCAAAUGUUAAAUCUGUGCCCUCCCCAGGUUGUAACAUCUGAAAAGCCACCACGAUGGAAAGUGACUGAUUAGUCUUGUCGACUCUGUCCAACACCUGAAGGCUGGACUUCUGGGCCUUGUGAUCAGACAGCUGGGAUUAUGAGUCUCAUCGAGAAACUCUAUGGCCAUCAUCCUUCAGUGGACUGGAGCCUACAGAAAGUGUCCAAAAGGCAUUGUUUAUGCAAGAGUCUCUGGCUGUGCAAUAAGCAGGUUCAAAUGGUCAUGUGGUUGGGCAAGAUAACUGGAUCUAAUUACUGAGAGUCCCUGACAGAAGUGUCUGAGUUGAGAAAUCCAUCUGAAGAAUUCCCAGGCUUUCAUACAAUUCUGUGAAUGCUGAGAGACAAGAAGAGAGUGGGUGCCAGGAUGAAAUGAGGAAGCACUCCUGCCAGCUUCUACCAAAAACUAGGUGCUUAGACCAUGUUAUCCAAAACCAGUUCUUUGAAGGCACUAAAUGCUGAAUAAAUAUCACUAAAAUGUGUGUUU